GAUGAAGAACGUAGCGAAAUGCGAUAAUUAAUGUGAAUUGCAGAAUUUAGUGAAUCAUCGAAUCUUUGAACGCACAUUGCGCCCCCUGGUAUUCCGGGGGGCAUGCCUGUCCGAGCGUCAUUACAACCCUCAAGCUCAGCUUGGUGUUGGGCCCCGCCGCCCCGGCGGGCCCUAAAGUCAGUGGCGGUGCCGUCCGGCUCCGAGCGUAGUAAUUCUUCUCGCUCUGGAGGUCCGGUCGUGUGCUCGCCAGCAACCCCCAAUUUUUUUCAGGUUGACCUCGGAUCAGGUAGGGAUACCCGCUGAACUUAAGCAUAUCAAUAAGCGGAGGA
rnacentral:misc_RNA from 1 species